UUCGUUCAAGAAUCAAGUACUUACUUUCAGUCGACGCAGUUUGUCGCUCACUCCCACAUGCUGUACCAAGAUAGGAGAGACCAAUGCUGAUCUUGAAGGCCAUCUCUCAUCCACUUCCCCUCCACAAACUCAUAAGUGACACUUGCAUCUUCAUCCACCAACUUGUUCCUGCUGCAGAUCUCAAACACUUUGAUCCCCAGCUUCGUCGUGUACCAGUUAAGCAGAGGGUAGAAAGUGUCAGCGAUAUACUUGAACUCUGGAAUAGUGUGAGCAUGACCGUGAAUAUCGAACAAGACACGAAUCUUCUGCUGGAGCUCUGACAUCUCCAUCUUCUUCAACUGUAUGUCCGACCUAUCCACUAAGAAGGUUGCAGUAGUCGAGGAAGAGGAAGCUCAUUGAAGAGUGUCCAGGAUCCCCAUUGUGUGCACUCUAGUGUUCCGCCUCGGCUUGAUGCACGACAAGUAAAACCCCAUACAUUUCCUGAUGUCGCACUGCUGCUGGCAGGAAUCCAUGUCUUUGUCCAGCUCCUCCUUAGCGGCUUGGAUAACCCGUUUACAGAUGACAUGCAUACCUUCUUUGCAUGCUGAACUUCGCUUCCGAUCCCAAUCAGGGGGAAGUACCUGUCCCUGAAUCUCAAAAUCAUGCUAUACCUCACUUAGAGAUUUCUCGCUCGCCUCCUUGUUGAAAACGAACCACCACAGGCUCCUGUAAGUUAUGGCAGCUUUGUCAUAGGAGCUGUAUGGCUUCAACUUCCUAGGCCCUAUAGGCCUGCAGUCCACCAGCUCGUCAAGAACUCCCUGCUUCUGUAUGGCUUCCCUUGUAAAGUAAGAAAGGAA
rnacentral:lncRNA from 1 species